UACCAGCUCUCCGAGUUGUAGGGACGAUUAUUGGGCUUAAAGCGUCCGUAGCCGGCUUAGCAAGUCUCCUGUUAAAUUCAGCGACCCAAUCGUUGAGCCGCGGGAGAUACUACUAGGCUAGGAGGCGGGAGAGGUCGACGGUACUUUCGGGGUAGGGGUGAAAUCCUAUAAUCCCGGGAGGACCACCAGUGGCGAAGGCUGUCGACUAGAACGCGCUCGACGAUGAGGGACGAAAGCUGGGGGAGCGAACCGGAUUAGAUACCCGGGUAGUCCCAGCUGUAAACGAUGCGGGCUAGGUGUUGGGGUGGCUACGGGCCACUUCAGUGCCGCAGGAAAGCCAUUAAGCCCGCCGCCUGGGGAGUACGGCCGCAAGGCUGAAACUUAAAGGAAUUGGCGGGGGAGCACCACAAGGCGUGAAGCUUGCGGUUC
rnacentral:rRNA from 1 species